GACGAACGCUGGCGGCGUGCUUAAUACAUGCAAGUCGAACGGAAAGGCCCUGCUUUUGUUGGUUGCUCGAUUGGCGAACGGGUGAGUAACACGUGAGUAACCUGCCCUUGUCUUUGUGAUAACUUCAGGAAACUGGGGCUAAUACCGGAUAGGAUCUCCUGCUGCGUGGUGUGGGUUGGAAAAUUUCGGCGGUUGUGGCUGGACUCGCGGCUUAUCAGCUGGUUGGUCGGGUAGUGGCGUACCAAGGCUUUGACGGAUAGCCGGCCUGGGAGGGUGACCGGCCACAUUGGGACUGAGAUAGGGCGCAGAAUCGUACGGGAGGCAGCAGUGGGGAAUAUUGCACAAUGGGCGGAAGCGUGAUGCAGCAACGCCGCGUGCGGGAUAACGUCUUUCGGGGUGUAAACAACUUUCGAAUGAGCCAAAGAGUGCGUGACGGUAAUGGGUAAAGAAGCCACGGCUAACUACGUG
rnacentral:rRNA from 1 species